rnacentral:rRNA from 1 species
UGCCAGCCGCCGCGGUAAUACGGAGGGUGCAAGCGUUGUUCGGAAUUAUUGGGCGUAAAGCGCGUGUAGGCGGUUCGUUAAGUCUGAUGUGAAAGCCCGGGGCUCAACCCCGGAAGUGCAUUGGAAACUGGCGAACUUGAGUACGGGAGAGGAAAGUGGAAUUCCGAGUGUAGGGGUGAAAUCCGUAGAUAUUCGGAGGAACACCAGUGGCGAAGGCGGCUCUCUGGUCCAUACCUGACGCGAGAAGCAAAAGCGUGGGGAGAAAACAGGUUAAGAUA